CUGCGCUGAUGACCACUUAGGACACCUUUGGAUGAGCCAUGAAAACACUCUGAAGUCUGAGCAGC